GUCAAAAAGAAAAGGCUCAAGAAGGAACUGCACUCGAAGAAUGGAAAGGCAGGCUGCGAAGGCGCUAAUACGAUUGUUCUCGAAGCAAAGGCCCAUACAAUUACCUUUUCCUUAUAUAAAUAAUAAAUAAUAAUAAAUAUGCCUUUUGAUCGCUACAAGUAUGUAGCCACGUAAACGAAAAGAAGGCAAGCUAUCUGAUGAAUUUACUGAAAAUGCCAAUG
rnacentral:lncRNA from 1 species